AGAGGUAGACUCUAGGUCUUACAACCAUCCCUCUCUUAUCAGCUCCUGAGAGACAGCUGGAUCAACGGCUAAUGGUGACACGAACAUUGAACGGCCACGACUGCUUUGUCCUUUGCACUCUGGGAUUCCAGUUUGUUUGUACCGAUGUUGAUCCAAGAUCCAAACCUCAAUAUCCUCCACAAACUAAUAUGAA